CAAAAAGGUGAUGAUCUAUUUCAUAUGCAGUUACUUGUUGUUUCCUGAUGUUGAACCUAGAUCUCAGUUGGAGAAUGAAAUAAGCUCUUACUCUUUGUUUUCUAAAGUUGGGCCUAGAUUUCACUUGGAGAGUCUGUGGAGUGAAGGAUAUAGCUAAGACAUUUGUUACCAGGCUUCGCUAUGUCAUCUUUCCAAAACUGUGGACAUGGGAAGGAACGAAAACCACCUCUGAAUUGAUGGGUCCGAGUUCAGUUCCUGAUAGUCAUUUGUCAAUCAUGGCUUACUUUCAGAUUCUCUAUAAUCCAAUGACCUGUUCUGUUUGCAGUCAAUGCAGGCCUAAAAGCAAUCACUGCAUGCAAGUAGGCAAUAGCUGGAAGUUUACAAACUUGGGAACCUACUGCAACCCAGCUCCACCCUAGUCAGUGUUCCCUCGGCUUCUUUUAUCAGUUUUCUUAUCCAUUCUAUGCCAUACAAGGUCCAAUUCAUCUGCAUCCUCGAACAACUGUCUAUUUUCAUGCUCCAUCAAUCUUCUAUGAACCUAAUUCUCGAACAACUGAGUCUCAUCUUCGGAAGGAGAGUAACCCAUAACUUGUUGAGGUGCCUACCAGCCAGAUAAAUCUAGCAUGCACCUGCAAUGCUUAGCUCGACCAUCCCUUCAAACUCAGAGCUCAUAUUUGUGGGCACGAAAACUCAUUAAAUUUGAUUAUGUUCCAUGAUCCUCUCAAAUGUUUUCAAACUUCAGUUUUCCAGCAUGCUUGAGUGAAAAAAUUGCAAGUACCAAGGCCUCCGAUGAAGGGAAGAUGAGACAAUGGGAUCGGAGAGUGGAUCCUGUAACAAGCCUCUAGACCAAGAGCUUGAACCUGGGAUGUGGGUUCUGAAUCUGAUGAAAGACUAGUUGAAUUGAGCGUUGAGCAUGGGCAUCCUUUAAUAUCAUUUUUAGCAUCGUCCACUGCCACAAAGGAUCAAGACAAUGCAGGGUAUUAAUUCGGUGAAAUUACCAUAAAACAGGCAAAAUUCAAUCGAGCUUUGGUAGACUUUUAACAAUUUGGGGCCAAAGCUAUGGGCUACCUAUAUACAUUAUUAUUAUC